rnacentral:tRNA from 1 species
GGAGAGGUGCAGGAGUGGCUGAACUGGCACGCCUGGAAAGCGUGUGUACGGGCAACCGUACCGUGGGUUCGAAUCCCACUCUCUCCG